rnacentral:rRNA from 1 species
UACGUAGGCAGCAAGCGUUGUUCGGAAUUACUGGGCGUAAAGGGUUUGUAGGUGGCCGGCUAAGUCAGACGUGAAAUCCCUCAGCUUAACUGGGGAACUGCGUCUGAAACUGAUCGGCUCGAGUGCAGGAGAGGAACGCGGAAUUCCAGGUGUAGCGGUGAAAUGCGUAGAUAUCUGGAGGAACACCGGUGGCGAAGGCGGCGUUCUGGACUGCAACUGACACUGUAAAACGAAAGCCAGGGGAGCAAACGGG